CCCUCGCUUUGGAGAGUUGCUGAAGCAUAUAUGAUUUGAUUCGUAGAAUUAUUAUCAAGAAUCAACACAAAGAUAUGUGAAGAUACAUGAGGCACGCUUUGUGAUGUUCAUCGCUAAAGCCACAGUUCUCCAUACAAUAAUACAAGACCCUGACUGUGAUGAUGGCUGAGUAGAGACUGAUUGACAUGGUGUAUUUCCAGAGUUGGUGGAAUGACCAAGCACACCUUCUUGGUCAUUUGUGGUGAUAAUA